rnacentral:rRNA from 1 species
UACGGGGGGGGCAAGCGUUGUUCGGAAUUACUGGGCGUAAAGGGCUCGUAGGCGGCCAACUAAGUCAGACGUGAAAUCCCUCGGCUUAACCGGGGAACUGCAUCUGAUACUGGAUGGCUUGAGAUUGGGAGAGGGAUGCGGAAUUUCAGGUGUAGCGGUGAAAUGCGUAGAUAUCUGGAGGAACACCGAUGGCGAAGGCAGCCCCCUGGGCCAACACUGACGCUCAGGCACGAAAGCGUGGGGAGCAAACAGG